GCUCAACCCCAGUCCCAGCCCCGCGGCCUCAAGUCCCGGAGAGGCACAGUAAGCCGAGCUUGUCGACGGGAGGAAGGCUGAAUGCUCGCUGACGCCUGGCUUCAGCAGCCCGCUUACCUGCCACCGACGCGACGCUCAGACUCCGUCUGCUGCUCUGACAACGCGGGGGAGCGGGGCGUGUGUCAGCACUCUGUGACGACGCUCACAGACUAUAAAAGUCAUCUUUAAUGGAAGACUGAUCCAGAACCCAGCGCUCCCGUUACAUAAUGGGUAGUCGAGAAAAUGAAAGGUUACCUAACGGAAAGAAAAAGCCAUCGUGGAACUUUGGUAACAAGAAAUUGGUAAAGAGGAAGAUUUUUGACAUUUCCCCAUAAACUAUAAAAGAAUUAGAGGCUUAGAAAGU
rnacentral:lncRNA from 1 species